rnacentral:rRNA from 1 species
AUGAACGCUAGCGACAGGCCUAACACAUGCAAGUCAGGGGCAGCACAAGGAGCAAUCUGAGGUGGCGACCGGCGCACGGGUGAGUAACACGUAUGCGACCUGCCUGUAAGCGGGGAAUAACCCGUUGAAAGACGGACUAAUACCGCAUAAUACUAAAUUACUGCAUGGUAAUUUAUUUAAACAUUUAUGGCUUACAGAUGGGCAUGCGCAUGAUUAGCUAGUUGGAGAGGUAACGGCUCCCCAAGGCAACGAUCAUUAGGGGUUCUGAGAGGAAGGUCCCCCACACUGGUACUGAGACACGGACCAGACUCCUACGGGAGGCAGCAGUGAGGAAUAUUGGUCAAUGGACGAGAGUCUGAACCAGCCAAGUCGCGUGCAGGAAGAAUGUCCCUAUGGAUUGUAAACUGCUUUUGCAGGGGAAUAAAGUGCAUCACGUGUGAUGUUUUGUAUGUACUCUGCGAAUAAGGAUCGGCUAACUCCGUGCCAGCAGCCGC